ACGCACGCUGGCGGCGUGCUUCACCCCUGCAAGUCGAACGGAAAGGCCCUGCUUUUGUGGGGUGCUCGAGUGGCGAACGGGUGAGUAACACGUGAGUAACCUGCCCUUGACUUUGGGAUAACUUCAGGAAACUGGGGCUAAUACCGGAUAGGAGCUCCUGCUGCAUGGUGGGGGUUGGAAAGUUUCGGCGGUUGGGGAUGGACUCGCGGCUUAUCAGCUUGUUGGUGGGGUAGUGGCUUACCAAGGCUUUGACGGGUAGCCGGCCUGAGAGGGUGACCGGCUACAUUGGGACUGAGAUACGGCCCAGACUCCUACGGGAGGCAGCAGUGGGGAAUAUUGCACAAUGGGCGGAAGCCUGAUGCAGCAACGCCGCGUGCGGGAUGACGGCCUUCGGGUUGUAAACCGCUUUCGCCUGUGACGAAGCGUGAGUGACGGUAAUGGGUAAAGAAGCACCGGCUAACUACGUG
rnacentral:rRNA from 1 species